UGUGUCAUAACUCAGGGAAGGUACAGAAAGUACAGCGUGUGACGGGGGAACUCGCUGAUGGAGUGGCUUCCCAGCUCAGCAGUGUGGCCACUGUCUUCAUAGCCUUACACAAGAGUCAGUAUUUCUCCUCAAAAGAAAUAAGGCCACCCCCAGUACUGACCUCGCAGGAGCCAGAUGUGCCUUCGAAAGCCUCCUCUGUAGCAUUAUUGCUAAACCUGCUUCUAAAUGGAAGGAAUGGAGAGGAAACCCAGCUAUUCCCACCCACAAAAAGGACCAAUUCCGCUAAUUGGGAUCCUCGCUUAGGAGGAGGAGGUGGCACUUUUCUCUCAGCCCAGGCUUCGGUGCUUCCCAGGCACCUGGAGGGAUGUUUCAAGGCUCAUUUGGAGUACAGAGGGG